rnacentral:rRNA from 1 species
AUGGCCGUGUACAUCCGCCUCGACGACGCCGUGCGCGCGCGCCUCCGCGGGGACGGGGGCGGCACCAGCAGCGGCAGCGACCACGACGCCUCCGCCUGCCUCUCCGGCCUCGUCCAGGCCUUCCUCGAGACGGACGCCGCCGCCGGCGCCGGGGACGACGCGGGCGGCCCGGCCCCGAAAGGGCGUGACGGGUACGACUCCGACGACGCGGACGGCGCCGCGGAGGCGGCCGCGGCGUCCGUGCGGGAGCUGCUCGACCCGCCGGCCGCGGAGGACCCCUUCCGGAUCAGGCUGGCGGCCGCCGUGUCCGCGGCGCUGGACGCGGAGGCGCCGCUGCGGGGCCACGGCGCGGCGUUCCGGCGCGCGGUGAUGCGGCGGCUGCGCGCCGCCGGGUACGACGCCGGCGUGUGCCGGUCGCGCUGGGAGACGUGCGGCAACCUGACGGCCGGGACGUACGAGUACGUCGACGUGGUCGUGCCGGCCGCGGGGAAGGCGGCGAGGUACAUUGUGGACGCGGACUUCCGGGCCGGGCUGCAGGUGGCGCGCGCGACGGCGGAGUACGCGGUGGUCGUGGCCGCGGUGCCGGCCAGGGCGGUGGUCGCGCGGGAGGAGGCCGUGGGGCGCGCCGUGCGCGUGGCCGCCGACGCCGCGCGCCGGUCGCUCCGGGCGCACGGCCUCCACGUGCCGCCGUGGCGCAAGAGCCGCUACAUGCUCGCCAAGUGGCUCGGGCCCUACAAGCGGUCGCCGUCCUCCUCAUCACCAGCGUCCGGGGCAAUGCCGGCGCCCGGCACCACCGGGCUGGACGUCAUCAAGUGCCGCGCCGUCGGGUUCUUCCCGUCCCAGACGGCCGCGCCGGCGGCGAGGAUCAAGUAG